UGCCAUGAAAACGUGCUACAGAUUUUUAUUUGGAAUACAGAGAGAAAGAAGGGUCGUUGCACGACCGACCUAAACACACACCACGUUCCUAAUGACUCGUGCCAUCCCACGGAUCAGAUCGUGAGUGCAUGAUCUACGGCUCCACUAUUAUCACGUGUGAUCCGAUGUGCCAUGCCAUCGCAUGACUCGGUUCACGACGCGGUAGAAACGGGAGCGACCCCAACCUGAUACGUGGACUCGACGCAAACAUGCUUGCUGUCGAGACCAACUCUCAGCGCACACCGUGUGCUUGCAGGCAGCUCUAUGGCGCGUUAUUUGGAACAAACAGAUUGUAGGGAAAAAAAACCCUAGGGCAUGGAUCAGACCUCGAUCCACAAAAACCCACAUCGUGAAGUUGUCUUAGUGGAUCUCGUCAUUCUCCGAGUCAAUCUCGUCAUUCUCCGAGUCGGAUAAGUGGUUGUCCACCUGCACGUGCCUAGCCUGCCAUACCGUCAACCACAAACACCGCAUCCAGAUUCCGUUACAUUCAAUCAUCACCCAGGCGGAAAAAACUGAAAACCUUGGAAUUAAAAGUAGAUCGAGUUCAUACCCUCCUCAUCUGGGCACGGCGGUACUUGAACCAGAGUUUGAUAUGCUGGGGCUCCACAUGAAGCUAGCGACCGAGAUGAGCGCGCUGGGUCUCAUCAGGGCUGGAGCACUCCUUGAAAACACUGUACUUUUCAGAAAAAAGAAGAUGAAAAAACCUUGAAUACCGUGCACAUGGAUCACCAUGAAAAUAUGACACGAAAAAUAAGGUGUAGGAAUGGUGCUUGAUCAACCUCUCCAGGAUCUGAAUCUGGUUGUCAGUUAGAUCCAUUGUUACCAAUUUCUCGCUCACUCUCCCAGGCUGGCUAGAGGAAGAGGAAUUGGAGGCAGGAAGGUAUCUUCGUACUGGAUGCUGUGCGACCUCUGCCUUGCUCCUAUUUAUACACGAGAGUGUGGCGUUUCUCCUCUGUCACACUGCUGGCGCAAAGAAGCGCCAGUCUGUGUGACCUCUGGCUUAGUAGCAGGCUCCUAGACUGUCUCUCUUAAUGGCUCCUCCUUUUUGGCUUCUUCCACCCUAUAUUGCUGACCGUCCGUCCCUGUAUUGCUCAUGAUCUAAACACUCUUGUAUUACUUUGCAGAGGGAGUAACAAGCAGUGCUUUCAGAUUUAAACCAUGUAAUAUAUAGUUUCAUUUAGCAGAAUUUGCAAAGCACUUCAAAUCAAACAACUUCAGAGUUUAUGGACCUGCAUCGGUACGAGCCCUACUGGGUUUGGAUGCAACAAACAAAUGCAGAGUGACCUGAAAAUGGCCGGUGACCUGUCUUGAGUUCGUAAUUUCUCCCCUCCCACAAUUACCAUUGUUCCUCUUGUAGAAAGGGAGAUAAUUGAUCCUGAAGUUACGUCCAUGUAUUGGUUGUUAACCAUUAUAAUAAAUUCUGCAAUAUUUUAGCAUGAAAUUGACAGGUAGGCAUUAAUUUCCAGCCUCUUACUUAUGUAUGGAUAUCAAAUUAAUCAAUAGUACAGGUGGGCCAUUAUGCUCUAAAUCAUAAUAUUCAAAUUCUAAGUAAGAAAAGUAGCAUAACAGUACCUGCGAGCCAAGAGCACCAAUCGGCCUAGCAGACCCAUAGCGCAUACCGCAGACGCUCGCUCUAGGAUCCUGCGCUGCCAUCUACCGCCGUCCCAUAUUCAAGAGGGAUCCUUGCACUAACCUUGCCAGGCCCAACUGCCGUUGACACCGCCACGACACCAGACAAUGCCACCAGUCUGCGUGCAUCCAUCAACCCACCUCCAACGGCGAUACUCCACCACACCAUGCUGCCGAGACCCACCGUUUUUGAUGCAGUAGAUGCAACACCGCUCCACCUCUUGGCCCCUCCAAUCAGUACCUACUCCUAAAUAGUGCCCCCAGGAGAGAGAAUGACACAAGUCUCCAUUAUCAUCUGAUCUGGGAGACCCAGAUCAUGGGUUUCCACGGAGCAGAUGCCUCAUGGAGGAAGAAGGGCAAGCCAUCUGGAGUUGCCACCGAACCCAAACAGUGCCCACCCGCCUAACGAGCCAUUUUCUUGGAGUUGUGUUGUUGUUCUUCAACAUCUUUAUACAGUGCCUUGUGUGCGUGUGUUGCGGUAUGGUGUCGUGUUGUGUUGUCUGUGCUGAAUUGUCUGAUUUGUAUAUAAAGUGGAGUAGAAGUCUUAUUGAUAAACACUGAGAUCAAUUACCCAGUUGAAACUUGAAAGUGCAUUUUUUGAUUUUGACAGCGGAAGUCAGGGCCAAGGCCGACCUCAUGCGCAGGAAAAGGGGCAAGCACACGUACAUCCCACAUGUACCCAAGCUUUUUUCUUCUUUUGGUUGCUUGUUGUUUGCUUGCGCUUAAUCCUACGAGAUUAUCAAUUGAUUAAUAAAUUUGCUUGAAUAAUGCAUUAUCAUCUGAUUUCUUGCUUAGAUCGAUGUGCUCUCUAUUUUCAAACAGUUUUGGUCUGGGCCUAUUUUGCUCAAUUGGAUAAUUUAUGUGGACAAAUUUAUCGAAUCAAAAUAAAUCAGUUUAUUUUUCUUCUGUUUCCGUUUUUCUAGGAACCUAUUUGUUGGCGUUCGAUGGGACAUAUGUUUUCAGAAACCUAACCAAUUAAUUUACCAAAUGCUAACCUUUACUUAAUCAUGUCCCAACCAUUCCNNNNNNNNNNNNNNNNNNNNNNNNNNNNNNNNNNNNNNNNNNNNNNNNNNNNNNNNNNNNNNNNNNNNNNNNNNNNNNNNNNNNNNNNNNNNNNNNNNNNNNNNNNNNNNNNNNNNNNNNNNNNNNNNNNNNNNNNNNNNNNNNNNNNNNNNNNNNNNNNNNNNNNNNNNNNNNNNNNNNNNNNNNNNNNNNNNNNNNNNNNNNNNNNNNNNNNNNNNNNNNNNNNNNNNNNNNNNNNNNNNNNNNNNNNNNNNNNNNNNNNNNNNNNNNNNNNNNNNNNNNNNNNNNNNNNNNNNNNNNNNNNNNNNNNNNNNNNNNNNNNNNNNNNNNNNNNNNNNNNNNNNNNNNNNNNNNNNNNNNNNNNNNNNNNNNNNNNNNNNNCAGCGAUGGUCAUGCAGACGGCCAUCGUCUUACAGAGGUCACACGCUUGUUGCCUAACCAAAGUCGUCGUAGUUCGUUCGGGUCAACAUAUCGGCCAUUGUGUUGAUCCCCAAACUCGUGCACAACAUACUACAUGAUUGGUUCACCGCGGUUGACCUCCUUGCCAUUGGAGAUCGUUCCAUGCCACGCACCUUUCUUCGGACUGUCUGGCAUCUUCACAUGGCCAGGAGCACAUGGAUAUAAUACUGAAUGUUUUGUCAGUGACCCAAGAUUACUCACGCAACUAGCUGGACACAUCAGAGGUUAUACAGACUAGCAAACCCAGAGCACACAUGGAAUUUGAUGCCAUGAAUACUUGCUACAGAUUUUUUUUUGGAAUACAGAGAGAAAGAACGGUCGUUGCACGACCGACCUAAACACAAACAACCUUCCUAAUGACUCGUGCCAUCCCACGAAUCAGAUCCUGGGUCCAGGAUCUACAGCUCCACUAUUAUCGCCUGUGAUCCGAUGUGCCAUGCCAUCCCAUGACUCGGUUCACGACGCGGUAGAAACGGGAGCGACCCCAACCUGACACAUGGACUCGAUGCAUGGACUCGACGCAAACAUGCUUGCCGUCGAGACCGACUCUCAGUGCGUACCAUCUGCUCGCAGGCAGGUCUAUGACACGUUAUUUGGAACAAACAGACUGAAGGGAAAAAACCUAGGGCAUUCACUUAGUUUACAUCAAUGGAUCAGCCCUCAAUCCACAAACCCACAUGGCGAAGUUGACUUAGUGAAUCUCGUCAUUCUCUGAGUCGGAUAAGUGGUUGUCAACCUGCUCGUCCCAAGCCUGCCAUGCCGUCAACCCCAAACACUACAUCGAGAUCCAUUACAUUACAUCAUGACCAGGUGGAAAAAACUGAAAUCUUGGAAAAAUUGAAAGGAGAUCGAGUUCAUACCCUCCUCAUCUGGGCACGGCGGUUCUUGAACCAUAAUUUGAUCUGCUGGGGCUGCACGCCAAGUUCGCGGCCGUGAUGGGCGCGCUGGGUCUCAUCAGGGUUGGGGCACACCUUGAAAGUCCUGCAGUUUUCAAAAAACGAAAAAGAAAACCUUGAAUACCCUGUACAUGGAUCACCAUGAAAAUAUGACACGAGAAAUAAGCCAUACGAAAUGGUGCUUGAUCAACCUCUCGAGGAUCUGAAUCUGGUUGUCACUUAGAUCCAUUGUUACCAAUUUCUUGCUUGCUCGCUCACUCUCCCAGGCUGCCUAGAGGAACAGGAAGUGGAGGCAGGAAGAUAUCUUCGUUCUGGAUGCUAUCUGACAUCUGGUUUGCUCCUAUUUAUACAUGAGAGGGUGCUGUUUCUCCUCUGUCACAGUGCUGGCGCAACGUCUGUGUGACCUCUGGCUUGGUGCUGGCAGUCUCCUGGCCGGUCUCUCUUAAUGCCUCCUAGUAUUUGGCUUCUUCCACCCUAUAAUGCAGACCGUCCUUCCCUGUAUUGCUCGGGAGCGCCAGCAGCAGAAACGUUGGCUUUGACUUCUGACAACCUCGGCGGGCUCGCUGGGUGGUCUUGUUGGUUUCUCUUUAUGCCUCUCAGCGCCAGCAGUAGCGUGGUAGUACUAGUAAGUGAUGCAUUGUCAGAAGCGUAUCAACAAAUUCAUUUUAUCGGAAGUACUAUUGGGUUUAUUGACCUCCGAUAUAAGAACCAGUGCUUUCCGAUUUAAACCAUAUAAUCUAUAGUUUUAUUUAGCAGAAUUUGCUAAUAAACUUCAAAUCAAACAACUUAAGAGUUUAUGGACCUGCUUCUGUACGUGUCCUACUGGGUUUGGGCCAAGAUAUCAGAGUGACCUGAAAAUGGCCUGUGACAUGUCUUGAGUUCUUAAUAUUUUUUCCUCCCACAAUUAACAUUGUUCCUCUUGUAGAAAGGGAGAUAAUUAAUCCUGAAGUUACAUCCAUGUAUGGCCUGUAACCAUUAUAAUAAAUUCUGCAAUAUUUUAGGAUGCAAUUGAUAGGCAUUAAUUUCCAGCCUCUUAUGUAUGGAUAUCAAAUUAAUGAAGUCAUAGUACAGGUGGGUCGUUAUCCUCUAAACCAUAAUAUGGGAUCAUAUUCGAUGUAAGAAAACUAGCACAUAACAAUGACCGACCUAUUAUUGCAAGCACUAUCAUGUAUCUGCAGGCUAGAUAUGGCAAUAUGUUUCCUUCAGUGCACCAUUGCACUCCUUUUACAAUGGACUUUCUUUUACGAUAUAUGUUCAUCACUUCAUCUACAUGGGAGAUUUUAUUUAGUCUUUUUUUAUUAAACAUGAAACAACACAACAUCAAGACCUUGAUCCACAAUUCUUGUUGCAUGGUAUAUAUUUCACUCGGAUGAAAGUUGUGAAGUAACAUGCCUUUUUCCAAAAGAUUGUUUCCCGUCAUUUGUUCCAAACAUACGAUACAUCCUUCGGCCAUAAAGCUACAACAACUACUACUAGGGAUAACCCUAGCAGUCGUGCUUGUUUUAUAGCUAUCAGUAGCGCUUGUACAAGCGCUACCAGUAAGGCGCUACAACUAACAGGUAGCAGUAGCGCUGGUUUUCUAGCGCUACUGCUAUACCUAGUUAGCAGUAGCGCUCGGUAGGGAAAAGCGCUACUGAUAAUAAUAAGUAGCAGUAGUGUUUCUCUAGAAAAGCGCUACUGCUAAAUUUUCCUGUAUUUUUGAAAAUGCAGCUUAUUGUCGCUGAACUUGUAUAGGUUUUAUAUACAGUACUUUCAUCAUAUGAUUUUAUGACCUUGAUUAGUUAUUAUAUAUAACAGUGGGUGAAAUGAACGUGGUGAUUCAAGUGAGGCAACAUGUGGUGCAUGUUGAAAGUACUACUAAUCCAAACUUGAUCUAGUUUGGAUUUGUUGUACUUUCGAUGUGCACCACAUGUUGCCUCCUCUUGAAUCUAAUCCAUGCUCAUUUCACCCACUGAUAUACUCCCUCCAUUCCCUUAUACAAGGCCACAAACUCAUAUUACACAUACCAAGAUAAAACUUAAUGACUCCUUGGCAAGUCAACUUUUCUUUUCGUUAUCCGGGAUUAUUAAUACACCAUAAGCAUGCAACGAAUGAAUGGGAAGGAAGUGUCUGAGUGUCAUUAUGACUACAUGCAUGUAUGUAUUAAAAAGUUGCUAGUACGAACAAACAUCAUUAAUUUUUGCGUUGAUUACUGUUGGUAGCCUUGUAUUGAUGCGAAAUGUAUUUUGAUAAUGGCCUUGUAUAAGGGAAUGGAGGGAGUAUAUAAUAACUCAUCAUGCUCAUAUACAACUUAGCAUCAUACAUCAUCAUAAUAAUAAAUAACUCGUCAUUGGUAUCAUAAUAACUUGUCCUACUUAUCAUCAUCAUACAACUUCUACUCGUUAUCAUAAUAACAAGUCAUACUCAUCAUCAUCCUAGUCAUCUAACCAACUCUACUUAAUUGUUCCUAGCACAUGAUCAUGAGUAUUAGCUAGGACCUAACUACCCUCUCUAAGGUAAAAUAGCAUAAAACAAGAUAGGCCCUGAAUCUCCACUAUGGAGAAUGGAGAUUAUCCUAUCUCCAGUUCUUGCGCUUCGCACAAUGUUGCUUCCAUGUAGCUGUUGGGGAACGUAGUAAUUUCAAAAAAAUUCUACGCACACGCAAGAUCAUGGUGAUGCAUAGCAACGAGAGGGGAGAGUGUUGUCCACGUACCCUCGUAGACCGAAAGCGGAAGCGUUAACACAACGCGGUUGAUGUAGUCGUACGUCUUCACGAUCCGGCCGAUCAAGUACCGAACGCACGGCACCUCCGAGUUCAACACACAUUCAGCUCGAUGACGUCCCUCGAACUCCGAUCCAUCCGAGUAUUGAGGGAGAGUUUCGUCAGCACGACGGCGUGGUGACGAUGAUGAUGUUCUACCGACGGAGGGCUUCGCCUAAGCACCGCUACGAUAUUAUCGAGGUGUAAUAUGGUGGAGGGGGGCACCGCACACAGCUAAGAGAUCAAUGAUCAAUUGUUUUGUCUAUGGGGUGACCCCCUGCCCCCGUAUAUAAAGGAGUAAGGGGGAGGCCGCCGGCCAAGGAGGAGGUCGCGCCAAGGGGGGAGUCCUACUCCCACCGGGAGUAGGACUCCUCCUUUCCUUGUUGGAAUAGGAGAAGGGAAGGGAGAAGGAGAAAGAAGGGGGCGCCCCCCCUCCCUAGUGCAAUUCGGACUAGUCCAUGGGGAGGGGUGCAGCUACCCUUUGGGGCCUUUCUCUCCUUUCCCGUAUGGCCCAUUAAGGCCCAAUACGAAUUCCCGUAACUCUCCGGUACUCCGAGAAAUACCCGAAUCACUCGGAACCUUUCCGAAGUCUGAAUAUAGUCGUCCAAUAUAUCGAUCUUUACGUCUCAGCCAUUUCGAGACUCCUCGUCAUGUCCCUGAUCUCAUCCGGGACUCCGAACUCCUUCGGUACAUCAAAACACAUAAACUCAUAAAAUAGCCGUCAUCGUAACGUUAAGCAUGCGGACCAUACGGGUUCGAGAACUAUGUAGACAUGACCAAGACACCUCUCCGGUCAAUAAUCAAUAGCGGAACCUGGAUGCUCAUAUUGGCUCCCACAUAUUCUACGAAGAUCUUUAUCGGUCAGACCGUAUAACAACAUACGUUGUUCCCUUUGUCAUCGGUAUGUUAUUUGCCCGAGAUUCGAUCAUCGGUAUCUUAAUACCUAGUUCAAUCUCGUUACCGGCAAGUCUCUUUACUCGUUUCGUAAUACAUCAUCCCGCAACUAACUCAUUAGUUACAAUGCUUGCAAGGCUUAUAGUGAUGUGCAUUACUGAGUGGGCCCUAGAGAUACCUCUCCGACAAUCGGAGUGACAAAUCCUAAUCUCGAAAUACGCCAACCCAAUAAGUACCUUUGGAAGCACCUGUAGAGCACCUUUAUAAUCACCCAGUUACGUUGUGACGUUUGCUAGCACACAAAGUGUUCCUCCGGUAAACGGGAGUUGCAUAAUCUCAUAGUCAUAGGAACAUGUAUAAGUCAUGAAGAAAGCAAUAGCAACAUACUAAACGAUCGAGUGCUAAGCUAACGGAAUGGGUCAAGUCAAUCACAUCAUUCUCCUAAUGAUGUGAUCCCGUUAAUCAAAUGACAACUCAUGUCUAUGGCUAGGAAACAUAACCAUCUUUGAUCAACGAGCUAGUCAAGUAGAGGCAUACUAGUGACACUCUGUUUGUCUAUGUAUUCACACAUGUAUCAAGUUUACGGUUAAUACAAUUCUAGCAUGAAUAAUAAACAUUUAUCAUGCUAUAGGAAAUAAAUAAUAACUUUAUUAUUGCCUCUAGGGCAUAUUUCCUUCAGUAGCUCCCUAUGAUUUUCCAUACAUUUUUUGCAAUCUUCGAUUGUCAUGUCUUCAUCGAUAUUAGAAAUCCGGUAUGAACAAUAGUGAAGCCUAGGAAGACCUGACCGUAAGCUCGUAACAUCAAGGCGACCUUUCAGAAGCAUCAGAUCACCACACAAUCCUUCAGGAUUUUCUGUUGAAAAACAUAGUAAUAACUUUGUAGUUAGCAAUGUAGUUUAGUUUUAGAAAAAUUUAUGCAAAAGAUGCACGGAUGUCGUAAUAGUAAAAAAAUCUUACCAUGCAAUCUCCAUGGAUGUUACCGUAGUUCAACACGUGCACUAGUGGCACGUAUUGACCAUAAUGUGCAGGAGUUUGAUAAUUGAUAUUGUAAUUCUCAACAUCAUUAAUAAAUGAGAUAAGAUGAUCUUUCUCCUGAUAAGUUAAUUCUGCACCAUCAGUAUAGUAGGUUCUGUCUACCAUCUUCCAUACAUUUUUUGAAGAAUGAAAAUAAGCUGUUAACAGAAAUAAGCUGUCAACUAUUUUGAAACAAACAAUAUAAAUUACUUAAUAAAUAUGUCUGAGAAACUCACAUAAAGGUAGAAGUGGAAGCGUAUCAACACGGACCAAAAUGCUAUCGUCAUGAUAACCAAGAUCGAAGGUGACAUACAUACCCUCUUGAAAAUCAUAUGCCUUGCACAGUGCUUCCAUAUUCGAGCAACCAAAAUGGGUUACGCUCUCCGAAUUGUAUAGCUUUACAGCAAAAUCAUAACCAUGAUUGGUCCUGAGAUGAAUUAUCUUUGUCUCCAUAUUUUCAUGAUCUUCGAAAUCCAGAUGCUCCAAGACAUAGCUUCUUGCAUCGCAUGGGAUAAGCUAGUCGAAUUUUGAUCAUGUGUACGAAAAUUAUUUAUAAUUUUUUUUAAAAUUGUUUGUGUAAAUAAAACAAAGAUUAAUCAUGUGUGCCUCCACGGGUGUGCUUCUUGUGGAGCAAAAAAACAUUUUUUUCUCCUUUCUCGCGGAAGCAAAUAUGUGCCUCUACGAGAAGCGAAUCUCGUGGAAGCAAAAGGAACACAUCAUUUUUCCUUUUUCGAGAGGCACAACUGUUGCUCUCGCGAAAGCAAAUAUAUGCCUCCAUGAGAAGCAAAUCCGUGCUUCUUGAGGAAGCAAAAGAAAAUGUGUUUUCCUGUUUUUUAGAGGCACAACUCUGACUCUUGCUGAAGAAAAACUGUGCAUCCAUGAGAAGCAAAUCUAUGCUUCUCAUGGAAGCAAAAAUAACUCAUAUUUUCUCCUUUUUAGAGAAGCACUGGUGUGCCUCCCAUGGAAGCAAUCUGUGCCUCCAUUGAAAAAAAUGUGCUUCUUUUCACGCAAUAGUUUUUUUCUUAUUUUUCUCUCUCCAAAACAAGGGCUAGCCAGGCGAAUACCAAAAAAAUGAAAAAACCAUCUAAAACUCAAAAACGCGUACAUGAAAAAAAAUUCUAAGGGAGUGCCUGAUGUUUACUAUGCAAUGUUUCUUCAUAUAGACUCUGUUGGGACUCCGAGUGCACAGUUUUGUAUGACAUCAGCACAUUUUCCUCGGGUGGAUGACCUACUAUUUAUCAAUUUGUGGGAGGUGUAGGAUGAAGAUGAUUUCUCUCAAACAAACCUGCAAUCAAAUACAAGAAAUCUCUUGGCCCCAACACACCAAAUACAAUGGUAAAUUAUAUAGGUGCACUAAUUUGGCGAAGAGAUGGCGAUACAAGUGUAGUAUGGAUAGUAGCUAUAGGUUUUUGUAAUUUGAAAUAAUAAAAACAAUAAGGUAGCAAGAAACAAAAGUGCGCACAAACGGUAUUGCAAUGCUUAGAAACACGGCCUAGGGUUCAUAAUUUCUUUAGUGCAAUCUCUCAACAGUGCUCACAUAAUUGAAUCCCAUAAUACUCCCUCAACAUAUGACAAUAUAUUUUUAUGUGAAAGCUCUCUUCCCUAUACUAAUCAUUCAUGAAUUGCUUGUAUGACCAAUAUUAUUAUUGGCAAACUUUAAUAGAUUUUACUUUCUAAACCCAAUACAAAAUAUUCCUAAGCAUAUGGAACAUAUAUAAUUUGGGGCUUAUGAUAUUCAAUUCAUUCAACAAUUUACUCUUAGGAUAUAAGUGAAGCACAAGAGUGAACGACAAACUACUCCAAAAGAUUUGAGUGAAGAUCAAUGACUAGUCAAACAAUUAAUUAGCUAUGUGAGGACUCUCCCCAAAUCAAAAUUUUAGAACCAAGUAUUUUAUUCAAACAACAAACAAAAUGAAAAGAUGCUUCGACCAGAACACAUAUCAUGUGAUGAACAACAAACAAGAGGGGAUGCCUUCCGGGGCAUCCCCAAGCUUACACGCUUGAGUCUUCCUUGAAUAUUACCCAAGCUUAGGGUCUUGCUGCUUGUUAUUAUCCUCAUGUUAUAUCUCACCCAAAACUUGAAAACUUCAAUCACACAAAACUUAACGAAACUUCGGGAGAUGCAUUAAUGUAAUAAAACAAAUCAUUCACUUGGGUGCCGUCAAGACAAGAUUCAUACUUGUUUCCAUAAAAUGCCUAGUGUACUCUAUAAUUUAUAUUGACCAAUAUAAGCCAUAGAAAGUAUAAAACAAGCAAACUAUACAUUGAAAAUAGAACGAGUCAAAAACAGGACAGUCUAUAAUGAUAUGAACAAAAACCAUACUUCUGAAACACUAAAAAUUCUUACAAAUUAGGAAAACGUAGGAAAUUUGUAUAUUAACACCGUUUAAAAAUUUCAGACCAAAAGCAUGUUCCAGUGAAUGUUAUAAAUUCCUAGACUUAGCACAAAAGUUUCUGUUUUUGCACAGAAUCAAGUCAACUAUCAUCCGCACUAUCCCAAAGGCUUUACUAGGCACUUUAUUGAAACAAAAGCUAUAAACAUGAUUACUACACUAGCUUAAUCAUGUGAACACAGAUAAAAAGUAGGUAGAAAUAUUGGGUUGCCUCCCAACAAGCGCUUUUCUUUAAUGCGUUUUUAGCUAGGCAUGAUGAUUUCAAUGACGCUCUCAUAAAAGUAAAGAACAGAAACAUAAUGGGAGCAUCAUGAAGCAUAUGACUAGCACAUUUAAGCCUAGCCCACUUUGUAUGCAUAGGUAUUUUGGGAGUAAAAACAAAUUAUGGGAGCAAGAAUCAACUAGCAUAGGAAGGCAAAACAAGUAUGCCUUCAAAACAUUGAACACAUAGAGAGGAAACUUGAUAUUACUUAGAUAUGUAAAAGCAAAUGUUUUCUCUCUCAUAAUAAUUUUUAGUAGCAUCAUGAACAAAUUCAACAAUAUACCUAUCAUACCAAGCAUUUUUUUUCAUAAUCCAUAAGCAUAUAAAUUUUAUUACUCUCCACAUAAGCAAUUUUUUUCUCAUUCAUAAUAGUGGAACCAAACUCAACAAAAUGACUAUCAUAUGAAACUUGUUUGACAUAACCCAAUUGAACAUUAAAAUCAUGAUGACAAUUUUCAUGGUUGUUGUUACUUUUUAUAGCAUACAUGUCAUCACCGUAAUCAUCAUAGAUAGUAACUUUGUUUUCAUAAUCAAUUGAAAUCUCUUCCAAAAUAGUGGAAUCAUCAUUAAAUAAAGUCACGACCUCUCCAAAUCCACUUUUAGCAUUAUUCCUUGAACACCCUCCAAAAUAGUUGGAUCAUUACUACCUAGAGUUGACACUCUUACAAACCCACUUUCAUCAUUGUAAUCAUCCUAAAUAGGAGGCAUGCAACAUCAUAAUAAAUUUUCUCAUCAAAAAGGGGGGCUAAAAAGGUCAUCUUCAUCAAACAUAGCAUCCGCAAACUUAUGGCUUUUCAUAUCAUUAGCAUCAUGGGUAUUAAAAGAAUACAUACUAAUAUAAUUGCAACCAUGCUUAUCAUCCAAAUAUUUUAUGCCAAACGUUUUUGAAUUCUUCUUAUAACAUUUUGGCACAAUUUUCGGAACCAUCUUUUUCAAGAAAGACAUCAUAAAGAUAAAAAACUUGAUGCAACUUCAAUUCCAUUUUUUUGUAGUUUUCUUUUAUAAACCAAACAAGUGAAAAUCGAGAAACUAAAAGAUUCGACUGGAAGAUCUAAAGAUAUAACUUCAAGCACUCACCUCCGCGGCAACAUCGCCCAAAAAGAACUUGAUGUCUACUACACAACUUUUCUUCUUGUAGACUCUGUUGGGCCUCCAAGCACAGAGUUCUGUAGGACAAGAGAAAAUUUUCCUCAAGUAGAUGACCUAAGGUUUAUCAAUCCAUGGAAGGUGUAGGACGAAGAUGGUCUCUCUCAAACAACCCUUCAAUCAAAUACAAGAAAUCUCUUACGUCCCCAACACACCCAAUACAAUGGUAAAUGGCAUAGGUGGACUAGUUUGGCAAGUGAAGUAUGUAUAGUAAAUAUAGGUUUUUGUAAUCUGGAAUAAUAAAAACAGCAAGCUAGCAAGUAACAAAAGUGAGCUCAAACAGUAUUGCAAUGCUUAGAAACAAGGCCUAGGGUUCAUGUAUACCUUCACUAGUGCAAUCUCUCAACAGUGCUAACAUAAUUGAAUCACAUAACAAUCCCUCAACGUACUACAAAUAAUCACUCCAAAGUUCUUAAAAAUAGCAGAGAACAUAAGAUGAAAUUGUUGUAGGUAGCAAACCACCUCAAAUUUAUCUUUCGGAUCAAUCAAUUGAGCCAUCCCUAUAAGUGUCACAAAUAGCCCUAGAGUUCGUACUAAAAUAACAGCAAGUGAUAUCUAUCAAUCAACUCUAAUGUCACCUAGAUACUCCAGUGUCACCACAAGUAUCCAAUGUCCCUAGAUACAUCAAGAUCGUGCCAAAUAAAGAACACGAGAGAGAGAGAGAGAGAUGAUACGUCUCCGUCGUAUCUACUUUUCCAAACACUUUUGCCCUUGUUUUGGACUCUAACUUGCAUCAUUUGAAUGGAACUAACCCGGACUGACGCUGUUUUCAGCAGAAUUGCCAUGGUGUUAUUUAUGUGCAGAAACAAAAGUUCUCGGAAUGACCUGAAACUCCACGGAACUUAUUUUUGGAAAAUAUUAAAAAUAUUGGCGAAAGAAUCAAGGACAGGGGGCCCACCACCUGUCCACGAGGGUGGGGGCGCGCCUGCCCCCUUGGGCGCGCCCCGCUGCCUCAUGGGCCCCCUGGAGCUCCACCGACCUCAACUCCAACUCCGUAUAUUCGUGUUCGGGGAGAAAAAAAUCAGGGAGAAGGAUUCAUCGCGUUUUACGAUAUGGAGCCGCCGCCAAGCCCUAAAACCUCUCGGGAGGGCUGAUCUGGAGUCCAUUCAGGGCUCCGGAGAGGGGAAUCCGUCGCCAUCGUCAUCAUCAACCAUCCUCCAUCACCAAUUUCAUGAUGCUCACCGCCGUGCGUGAGUAAUUCCAUCGUAGGCUUGCUGGACGUUGAUGGGUUGGAUGAGAUUUAUCAUGUAAUCGAGUUAGUUUUGUUAGGGUUUGAUCCCUAGUAUCCACUAUGUUCUGAGAUUGAUGUUGCUAUGACUUUGCUAUGCUUAAUGCUUGUCACUAGGGCCCGAGUGCCAUGAUUUCAGAUCCGAACCUAUUAUGUUUUCAUGAAUAUAUGUGAGUUCUUGAUCCUAUCUUGCAAGUCUAUAGUCACCUACUAUGUGUUAUGAUCCGGCAAACCCGAAGUGACAAUAAUCGGGACCACUCCCGGUGAUGACCAUAGUUUGAGGAGUUCAUGUAUUCACUAUGUGUUAAUGCUUUGGUCGAGUACUCUAUUAAAUGGAGGCCUUAAUAUCCCUUAGUUUCCAUUAGGACCCCGCUGCCACGGGAGGGUACGACAAAAGAUGUCAUGCAAGUUCUUUUCCAUAAGCACGUAUGACUAUAUUCGGAAUACAUGCCUACAUUACAUUGAUGAAUUGGAGCUAGUUCUGUGUCACCCUAUAUUAUGACUGUUACAUGAUGAACUGCAUCCGGCAUAAUUCUCCAUCACCGAUCCAAUGCAUACGAGCUUUUCACAUAUUGUUCUUCGCUUAUUUACUUUUCCGCUGCUUCUGUUACAAUCACUACAAAACCCAAAAAUAUUACUUUUGCUACCGUUACCGUUACUUCCAUACUAGUUUGCUACUAAACACUUUGAUGCAGAUACUAAGUUAUCCAGGUGUGGUUGAAUUGAUAACUCAACUGCUAAUACUUGAUAAUAUUCUUUGGCUCCCCUUGUGUCGAAUCAUUAAAUUUGGGUUGAAUACUCUACCCUCGAAAACUGUUGCGAUCCCCUAUACUUGUGGGUUAUCAAGACUAUUUUCUGGCGCCGUUGCCGGGUGGCAUAGCUCUAUUCUUUGAGUCACUUGGGAUUUAUAUCUGCUGGUCACUAAUGACGAACUUGAAAGAUGAGAAAACAAAAAAAAUUCCCUCAACUACGAGGGGAGGUAAGGAACUGCCAUCUAGCUCUGCACUUGAUUCACCUUCUGUUUUGAGUAAGCUUGCGACACCUAAACCUGCUUCUGCUAUUAAUUCUGAUAUGUCGCAUGUUAUUGAUGAUGCCACUUCUGCUUUGCAUGAUACUUAUGAUGAAACUACUUCUAUGCUUGAUACUACUGUCCCACUUGGUGAAUUUCUUGAUGAACAACUUGCUAGGGCUAGAGAGAAUGAAAUUAUUGAAACUGAUAAUAUUGAUGAUAGUGAUGAUGAAGACUCUUCCGCUAAUAACUAUGAAUUACCUGUUGUGCCUGAGGGCUAUGUUAUGGAUGAAGAAACUAAAAGAGACUUUCUUGCUUGCAAUGAUAGAAGUGAUCUUAAGAAAUUAUUAGCUAAGCUUAAAACAAAAACUCUGAAUGCUAGAAUGAAAUAUGAUCCUGCUUAUGCUACUUCACCUAUCUUCAUUACUGAUAAGGAUUAUGAAUUCUCCAUUGAUCCUGAUAUAAUUAGUUUGGUUGAAUCUGAUCCUUUCUAUGGCUAUGAAUCUGAAACUGUUGUGGCACAUCUUACUAAAUUAAAUGAUAUAGCCACCCUGUUCACUAAUGAUGAGAGAACUCGCUACUUUUAUAUCCUUAAAAUAUUUCCGUUCUCAUUAAAGGGUGAUGCUAAGAUAUUGUUUAAUUCUCUUGAUCCUGGUUGUGUGCGUAGUCCCCCGGAUAUGAUUUAUUACUUCUCUGCUAAAUAUUUCCCUGCUCAUAAGAAACAAGCUGCUUUAAGGGAAAUAUAUAAUUUUGUGCAAAUUGAAGAAGAGAGUCUCCCACAAGCUUGGGGAGGCUUCUCCAAUUACUUAAUGCUUUGCAUGAUCAUCCUCUCAAGAAAAAUGAAAUACUUGAUAUCUUUUAUAAUUGACUAACUCAUGCUUCCAGAGAUUACCUGGAUAGUUGUGUUGGUUCUGUUUUCAGGGAAAGAACACCGGAUGAAGCUGAAAUUCUAUUGAAUAAUAUGUUGACAAAUGAAAAUAAUUGGACACUUCCUGAGUCAGCUCCUGAACGUAUUCCGAGGAAAAGAGGUGUUCUAUUUCUCAGUCCUGAAGAUAUGCAAGAGGCAAAGAAAUCUAUGAAAGAAUAGGGUAUUAAAGGUGAAGAUGUUAAGAAUUUACCUCCUAUUAAAUAAAUACAUGGUCUAAAUUUACCGCAUGUUGAAGAAAUAUAUGAUCUUAAUCCAUUACCUAUUGAAGAAACUCAUGGUCUUGAUAACCCGACACAGGUAGUAAAGGUAAAUUCCCUCUAUAGAUUUGAUGAAGGUGAUAUCCCUCGUUAUAAGUCUGCUAGACAAUGCCUAGAUGAGUUUGACAAUUUUAUUGUUAAACAAGAAAACUUUAAUGCUUAUUUUGGUAGACAAUUGAAAUACAAUUAUGAUAUGCUAGAACACUUGGGUGAUUAUAUGUCUAGAGUUAAAGGUGAACUUAAAUUCAUUAGUAAACAUGCUUCUAUGGUCACCACUCAAGUAGAACAAGUACUUAAAGCUCAGAAUGAUUUGCUCAAUGAAUUAAAUAGUAAGAAUAAUGAUUAUGCUGUUAGAGUGGCUACUAGAACUGGUAAAAUGACUCAGGAACCUUUGUAUCCUGAAGGCCAUCCUAAGAGAAUUGAGCAGGAUUCUCAGAGAAAUAAUAUUGAUGCACCUAGUCCUUUGCAUGCUUCUAGUGAACCUGUUGUAGACACACCUGAGAAUCCAAAUGAUAUUUCUAUUUCUGAUGCUGAAACACAAUCUGGUAAUGAACAUGAACCUAGUGAUAAUAUUAAUGAUGAUGUUCAUGUUGAUGCUCAACCUAGCAAUGAUAAUGAUGUAGAAAUUGAACCUGCUGUUGAUCUUGAUAACCCACAAUCAAAGAAUCAUCGUUAUGAUAAGAGACUUUGUUGCUAGGAAACAUGGUAAAGAAAGAGAACCAUGGGUUCAGAAACCCAUGCCUUUUCCUCCCAAACCAUCCAAGAAAAAUGAUGAUGAGGAUUUUGAGCGCUUUGCUGAAAUGAUUAGACCUAUCUUCUUGCAUAUACGUUUGACUGAUAUGCUCAAAAUGAAUCCUUAUGCUAAGUAUAUGAAAGAAAUUGUUACUAAUAAAAGAAAGAUACCAGAAGCAGAAAUUUCCACCAUGCUUGCUAAUUACACUUUUAAGGGUGGAAUACCAAAGAAACUAGGAGAUCCAGGAGUACCAACUAUACCAUGCUCCAUUAAAAGAAAUUAUGUUAAAACUGCUUUGUGUGAUCUUGGAGCCGGUGUUAGUGUUAUGCCUCUCUCUUUAUAUCGUAGACUUGACUUGAAUAAGUUGACACCUACUAAAAUAUCUUUGCAAAUGGCUGAUAAAUCAACUGCUAUACCUGUCGGUAUUUGUGAGGAUGUGCCUGUUGUGGUGGCGAACGUUACUAUUUUAACGGACUUUGUUAUUCUUGAUAUUCCCGAGGACGAUAGUAUGUCUAUUGUUCUUGGAAGACCCUUUUUGAAUACUGCAGGGGCUGUUAUUGACUGCAACAAGGGCAAUGUCACCUUUCAUGUUAAUGGUAAUGAGCAUACGGUACACUUUCCGAGGAAACAACCUCAGGUCCAUAGUAUCAACUCUAUUGGAAAAAUUCCAUCGAUUAUUUUUGGAGGUUUUGAAUUUCCUCUUCCUACUGUCAAAAAGAGAUAUGAUAUUUUAUUAUCGGGGAUGUGCAUAUCCCCGUUGAGGUAACAUAGUGUUAUGCGAAAUUUCUCCGGUUUCAUGCAAUUCGGAAUGAGUUUCUUAACAAGACUUGAUCAACCUUGUUAGUGGAUUCCUUUUGAUGAGCAUGAGAUGGAUGAAGUUAGAAAGCACAACCUUCUGUACCCUCCUUUUACUUUCUGUUAUUUAGUUGAAAUAAAUUAAAAAUAGUAUUUUUCUGUUAGUUUCCUGAAUUAUCCGUGCAAUAUAAAAAUACCCCGAAAAUAAACGUUCUCCAAAUGCCCUGCCAAUUUAAUAUGAUUUUUUCUGGAAUAUUUGAGAAUAUCUGGCACUAAGAACACAGCAGGGCGAGCAAGCACCUGGCCACGAGGGUCCGGGGCGCGCCCACCCCUACAGGGCGCGCCCCCGGCCUCGUGGGCCCACGGUGGCUCCCCUCCACUUAUGCCAGCCACUACACACUUCUUCUUCCUCCCAAAAAAAUCACCAUCCAGCUCAAGCACGAGUUCUAGCUCAUUUUGCUUCGAUUUUCGAUCUCCUUGCUCAAAGCACCUCUCACAAAACUGCUUCGGGGGAUUGUUCCUUGGUACGUGACUCCUCCAUUGGUCCAAUUAGUUUUUGUUCUAGUGCUUUAUUCAUUGCAAAUUUGUGCUGCCUAGGUGACCAUGGUCUUGAGCUUGCAUGUCAAAUUUAUAUGGUUCCAAGUAGUUCUAAUGCAUGAUAUAGGCUCUAGGCACUCGUAGGAGUAGUUGCAAUCAAUUUUGUUGAGCUUGGUCACUUUUAUUUGAAGUUACUAAAAUUUUCAGCAAUUUUUCAGAGGAAGAAAUAUGUUUAGGAAAAUGUACCAAGGUGGUUCUUCAAGGAAACAAGGACCCAGGCUUGCAAUGCGUGAUGCUGACGAUGAACCACCAAGGGACGCUCCAGAUCGGCCUUGUGAAUGGCCUUCAGAAGACUUUAUGGAUCGAGCAGGAAUCAAGGAAGAAUUUAACGCAUAUUUGCGUAACGCUGAUCUUGUGAGCUUCGAGGCAGAAAAGUGCCGUCAGUACCACUAUCUCACUAGUUGCUUUGUGAGGAGGUUCAAAUUUUCAUCUUCACGUAAUUCUCAAACUGUCAUGUUUGAUCUUUAUGAAAAUUCUUAUACUAUGGACUUAGAGGAUUUUACCACUGCUUGCAAACUUCCACAACGGGGUAGUCCUAGUGAACCUUGCAAAUCUGAAUUUAGAGAUUUUCUUGCUAGUAUAACUGUGGGUGAAUCUAGAGACAUAACACAAGGUACCAUAGGGAGUAUUCAUUUUCCUGCUAUACAUUGUUUUGCUCUCUUCAUAGGUAGGUGCAUAAAUGGUAAGGAUGAAGCAUGUCACAUGUGUGUCCCUGACCUCAGUGUUCUCAGGAGUGCUGUGUUAGGAGACAAACAUUAUAAUUUAGGAGCCAUUGUCGCACGUAGGUUGCAUAAUAAUAAAAUUAAUGGAGAUUUCUUUGGUGGAAUUUAUGCAACCUGUAUAGCUAAUUUUCUUGGUGUAACUAUACGUGAGUAUCAUGUUGAGUUGCCUAAUGUUUGUUUAGAUUAUAAUGCCAUGGUUCAUCAUCGUUUUCUUGAGAGGAACGAGCAGUCCCUCCAGUAUCGCUUAAUCUUUGACAGACGUCGCGCUGUCCAUAUUACUCUCCCUGCUCCUGCCUUCUUUGAUUAUCAGGCAAAAGGAAGACAUGUUAUUACCAGAGAGGAGGUAGAUGAGUACGAGAGGAGGGCGGAGGCAGCUCGCCGACACGCUGCAGCUCAGGAGGCAAUAGCCGCUGCAUCUCAGUACGACCCCGGUUAUAACUUUGCAUAUCCGCCACCCCGUGGCAAUAAACCAACUUAGGCCAAAAGCCUAAGCUUGGGGGAGUACAUAUUUCCCACCGACAUUACAUUUAUGUUUACACACUCAUUGCUAGAUGUCGGUACUCAUACUCUUUCAUUGCACUAUCCAUGCUAGUUUAUUUUUUUUCUUGCUUUCUUCUUGUGUGUUUGAUAAACCUUAAGAAAAACCCAAAAAAUUAGUAAUAGCUUUUAGCUAGUUUACUUUCUUGCUGUAGUAAUAAUAAUUAAAAAGAACACCCAAAAAUAUUUCAUGUUCGUCUUUUGCUUGUUGGGUGCUUUCCCAUGUAAAUAGUUUUAUUUCUUUUCUUUUCUUUGGGGGUCGAUAGGAGAAGACCAUAAUUAAAUUGUUGAAGUGGCUCUUAUAUGCAUUAUUGUUGAUUUAACCAAGAGUCCAUAUUGCCUUGUCUUCUCCUGUUUAUUGAAUGCUCGCAGAUUCCAGCUUAGUCCAAUGCACGUGCACUAUUAUUAUUAUUCACAUCGUUCGGUCGUGCAAGUGAAAGGCAAUUAUGACGAUAUAUGAUGGACUGAUUGAGAUUGGAGAAGCUGGUAUGAACUCGACCUCUCUUGUUUUUGUAAAUAUGAUUAGUUCAUCGUUCCUGAUUCAGCCUAUUAUGAAUAAACAUGUUUGCAAUGACAAUUAGAGAUCAUAGUUGCUCGUGCCAUGCUUGAUUAGCUAUGAGUUAUAAUGGUUUACCUUGCAUGCCAACAUGCUAUUAAAAUGGUUGUGAUGUGGUAUGCUGGGGUGGUAUCCUCCUUUGAAUGAUUUAAGUGACUCGACUUGGCACAUGUUCACACAUGUAGUUUAAAAAAAUCAACAUAGCCUUCACGAUAUUUAUGUUCAUGGUGGAUUAUAUCCUACUCAUGCUUGUACUCAAUGUUUAUUAAUUUUAAUGCAUGUUCAUGACUGUUGUCGCUCUCUAGUUGCUCGCUUCCCAGUCUUUUGCUAGCCUUCACUUGUACUAAGCGGGAAUACUGCUUGUGCAUCCAAUCCCUUAAACCCCAAAGUUAUUCCAUAUGAGUCCACCAAUACCAUCCUAUAUGUGGUAUCUACCUGCCAUUCCAAGUAAAUUUGUAUGUGCCAAACUCUAAACCUUCAAAUGAAAUUCUGUUUUGUAUGCUUGAAUAGCUCAUGUAUCAACUAGGGAUGUCUGUAUCUUCCAUGUUAGGCGGGUUAUUCUCAAGAGGAGUGGACUCCGCUCCUCACUCACGAGAACAUGGCUGGUCACCGGGAUGCCCAGUCCCAUGCUUUAUGCAAAUCAAAUCAAAAUAAUUGCAAACAAAACUCCCCCUGGGAAUGUUGUUAGUUGGAGGAACUCGUUGUUUCGAGCAAGCCAUGGAUUGAUGCUUGUGGUGGAGGGGGAGUAUAAACUUUACCAUUCUGUUUGGGAACCGCCUAUAAUGUGUGUAGCAUGGAAGAUAUCGCCAUCUCUUGGUUGUUAUGUUGACAAUCAAAGUAUGCCGCUCAAAAUAUUAUUUAUCUCUGCAUUAAAAUCGAGCUCUGGCACCUCUAUAAAUCCCUGCUUCCCUCUGCGAAGGGCCUAUCUAUUUACUUUCAUGUUGAGUCAUCGCCCUCUCAUUAAAAAGCACCAGCUGGAGAGCACUGCUGUCAUUUGCAUCCAUUACUAUUAAUUUAUAUUGGGUAUGACUAUCACUGGAUCUCUUUUACCAUGAAUUACAAUGUUUAGUCAGUCCUUGAUCUGUAAAAAGGUGCUCUGCAUUUAUGUUUUGCAGUCUCAGAAAGGGCUAGCGAGACACCAUCUUGUUAUAUCAUAUUAUGAUUGUUUUGAGAAAGUGUUGUCAUCCGAGAUUUAUUAUUAUGGCUCGCUAGUUGAUUAUGCCAUUGAUAUGAGUAAACAUGAGACCUAAGAGUUAUUGUGAAUGUGGUUAGUCAUAAUCUUUGCUGAUAAUUUGAACGAUGGCUUUAUAUAUUUACAACAACAAGAGCAAAUAGAGUUUGUAAAAGUUUUUCUUUAUCACUUUCAGUUUAUCAACUGAAUUGCUUGAGGACAAGCAAAGGUUUAAGUUUGGGGAGUUGAUACGUCUCCAUCGUAUCUACUUUUCCAAACACUUUUGCCCUUGUUUUGGACUCUAACUUGCAUGAAUUGAAUGGAACUAACCCGGACUGACGCUGUUUUCAGCAGAAUUGCCAUGGUGUUAUUUAUGUGCAGAAACAAAAGUUCUCGGAAUGACCUGAAACUCCACGGAACUUAUUUUUGGAAAAUAUUAAAAAUAUUGGCGAAAGAAUCAAGGCCAAGGGGCCCACCACCUUUCCACGAGGGUGGGAGGCGUGCCUGCCCCCUGGGCACGCCCCUGCCUCAUGGGCCCCCUAGAGCUCCACCGACCUCAACUCCAACUCCAUAUAUUCGUGUUCGGGGAGAAAAAAUCAGGGAGAACGAUUCAUCGCGUUUUACGAUACGGAGCCGCCGCCAAGCCCUAAAACCUCUCGGGAGGGGGCUGAUCUGGAGUCCAUUCGGAGCUCAGGGGAGGGGAAUCCGUCGCCAUCAUCAUCAUCAACCAUCCUCCAUCACCAAUUUCAUGAUGCUCACCGCCGUGCGUGAGUAAUUCCAUCACAGGCUUGCUGGACGGUGAUGGGUUGGAUGAGAUUUAUCAUGUAAUCGAGUUAUUUUUGUUAGGGUUUGGUCCCUAGUAUCCACUAUGUUCUGAGAUUGAUGUUGCUUUGACUUCGCUAUGCUUAAUGCUUGUCACUAGGGCCCGAGUGCCAUGAUUUCAGAUCUGAACCUAUUACGUUUUCAUGAAUAUAUGUGAGUUCUUGAUCCUAUCUUGCAAGUCUAUAGUCACCUACUAUGUGUUAUGAUCCGGCAACCCGAAGUGACAAUAAUCGGGACCACUCCCGGUGAUGACCAUAGUUUGAGGAGUUCAUGUAUUCACUCUGUGUUAAUGCUUUGGUCCGGUACUCUAUUAAAAGGAGGCCUUAAUAUCCCUUAGUUUCCAUUAGGACCCCGCUGCCACGGGAGGGUAGGACAAAAGAUGUCAUGCAAGUUCUUUUCCAUAAGCACGUAUGACUAUAUUCGGAAUACAUGCCUACAUUACAAUGAUGAAUUGGAGCUAGUUCUGUGUCACCCUAUAUUAUGACUGUUACAUGAUGAACCGCAUCCGGCAUAAUUCUCCAUCACCGAUCCAAUGCCUACGAGCUUUUCACAUAUUGUUCUUCGCUUAUUUACUUUUCCGUUGCUACUGUUACAAUCACUACAAAACCCAAAAAUAUUACUUUUGCUACCGUUACCGUUACUUCCAUACUACUUUGCUACUAAACACUUUGAUGCAGAUACUAAGUUAUCCAGGUGUGGUUGAAUUGACAACUCAACUGCUAAUACUUGAGAAUAUUCUUUGGCUCCCCUUGUGUCGAAUCAAUAAAUUUGGGUUGAAUACUCUACCCUCGAAAACUGUUGCGAUCCCCUAUACUUGUGGGUUAUCAAGAGAGAGAUGAAACACAUAGCUACUGGUGCAUACCCUCAUGCCCGAUAGAAAAUUAGGUUGUAUGAAUCGUUUGUAGAUAAUUCAUAACGACCUUGGACCAUACAAACUGAACAAAUUUUGUCGCUAUAUAAUUUGUUAUAUGUUGUUAUUAAAAAUCAGUAAUAAAAUUGUAUAUAUUGAACUGACUUAGGAUCUUUUUGUAUAAUUUAUGUCACUAUUCAUGCUGGCAAGAAACCUACAAAUAUUAUAAAGUUGGCUAAUAUAAGUAAAGUCUCACAUAUAUAGAAAAAUAAAUCACUCUUAGUUCUUUUUGGGAUUAUUAUAUGUUGUACUAUUAUUGUAUGAACAAAUAAAGGACAAAAAUUAGAUUGUUUAGUUGUAUUAAUUAUUAAAAACUCGAAAGCAUGGAAGAUUGUUGCCUUUGAUCACUUGGGGUUUAGCUAUAGCUACCUCAUCCUAACCCAUGCCGUCUCUAGAUCAUUGUACCAACUUGUGCUUUUUAGAACAUUUUUCUGCAAAAUGGAAGUGCUGCUUUUCCAGAACAUUUUGAUAUCUUAUUUACAUUUUUAUGAAUUCAUAUGAAUUUGCAAUGAAUUUUUCAAAGUGAUGUUCAAAUGCUCAAAGGGCAUUCAGGAGACCUAAAAUUCUUUUUAGAGGCAAAACUGAGCAGAGUCGAAAACUAGGGGCAAAACUAAAGGAUUGGAACCAACUAAGGGCAAGAAAGGAAUUGUCCCGCCAAUGGUUUUCUAAAUCUCGAUCUGGUCGGAGAUUAAACCAAGACUGAGUAUCCAUAUUUAAGGGGCCUUAUUGACAUGGAUUUUUUUUGCUUGCAGCUUUAUUGUCCAUUCUCACAUGCUUGUCUUAAAAUUACGAAACCUUAAACAAAUAUAUCAAAGUUAUUAAUUAUGUAAGUAGUGUAACUUUAUCAGGUGUAUUAGUUCCUAAUCAGAGCUCAUAGAUUAAGCAAAAAAAUUGUAUGCCAUGCUAAUACGAUAAUUCAAAUGAUGCACGAAAAAAUACACGCAUGGAUAUUAGUUUAAAUAAAUACAAACGUGCUAUUUCCAUGCAAUAAAUACAUGCCACUACAAAUGCAUCGUGAGACCGUGGGCCAUGAUUUUCUUUACAAGGACAAAGACAAUAUGGAUUUGACAAUCAUAUGGAUCUGCAAUCACAAAUAUUAGUUAUGAUGCAGGCUCAAGUAUAAUAAAAAUACUCAUUAUGAACAAUGAAAAAAACAAAAAGAUAAUAUCCAAAACAUCUUAUAAUGAAAUGUACCUAAGGGUUAGAUGACAACUCACUCUUAUGAGACGUUGUGUUUGGAGAUCAAUCAUACACUAUACCAACACAAUUGCAUGUUUAGUGAUUAGCCAGCAGAAAGGUAAGUUUGUAGAACUAUAUACAUAACCUAUGUGUCCAUUUAUAGUAUUAGCCAACAGAAAGAAGUCAUAAAUUUCCCUUUAUAUUCUUUAGUGAUAUCUACAUGACAAUAACUGUCUCACAUCAAAACCACAGGGCCAUACAAUGCAUCCUUGUUUAACUACGAUGGUAACGGAUAAUAGAUACUACAAUUAUUGCGAAAGUUUUGUAUAUCCCAUAACGGAAGAUCCGACACCUCAUAACAACCCAUCCAUCUCAUUCACGGGCCAGAUGACGUCACUGGUUGAUAUCGACGCCCCUAUGGCAAUUAUCGUUUCCUCACCAUGCAAGUGCCUUCUUCCAUGGUAUGAUUUCAUUGUUAGAAUCUCUAACCUUGAUGAGGCGUACAUUUUCGUAGUUGAACACCUCGUGCACUCUCCAAGCCAAGGUGAACAACCAACUAAAGGAGGUUGCAGCGGGUACUACCAACAGAAACUGAUGCAUAACAUUGUGUUGCCAACAUACCUAACUAGGGUGGAAGUGUACGUGUAUGGUAUUUCCUAGUUGCAAAGAGGUGGACCCUAAUGAACAACCUCAAGGCGCAGAUGACGAAACACAAUAUACCCUCAUCGAGUGCCCGAGUUGGACCCUUAGGUGGCCUAAGUGACGAAUACAUUUGGGGACGCACUCCCCCCAGCUAGCAAACACUCUCACCGCUGACACUUUGUACGAAUGUCCCUACACUGGGACCAUCUACUUUGGGUCCUCACCGAGCUGAAGGUCCUUAGGACAUAGUGGUGGCUAAUGAUGAGGGCGCUGACAAAGAUGAGCCGCCGCCCGACACACUAUGAGCAUGGGGAGGAGGAUGUUAAUAUGUAUUUUAACAAUGAAUAUGAUGAUGGCAUGACUUUUGCGGUUAACCAUAAUGCUGUUGAGAGUUUGCUUAAUAUGCCGCUAGUGGACGACACUCAGAAUGAUCAAUGUCCCUCAAAGCGAAUGUCAUGACUCCGAUCACAAUGAAUGGGUCAAUUUGAGACACACUGGGAGCCCCCAGUUAUCGUUGUACCCAGAAGUGGGAGGAAGAAGAGACGUAAAAAGUUUGAUUACACAAGGCACGGGCAUUGCUGGCAGACAGAAACUGGUAUGAAAGUAGAUUGAGGAUCAUCCUUCUAUGUUCGAGGGGCUCAUUUUCCGGUGAACCCAUGGUACCCAGUAAUAUACACGAUCCAUGUUAUUCGACAUGAGAUUUCUUAGGGAUGACAUUCUCAACAAAGAGAGGGUGGACAAGGUCACGUUUCUUAGCCAACCUAAAAAUCGCUCGAUUUAGAUGGUGAAGGUUCCAUCCGGUGUCGGCUUCCUCGAAGAUUUGCCCGCAGACAAAUUCUAUAUUGAUUUCGGGUUACCAUGCCUUUUGUGUAGUAUCUACUUAAGUUUUAAAGAUGCAUGAUGAAAAUGACCUACUAUGUUUACUUCAUUAACCUUAGUAGUCAUUGACGUAUCGAAACAUGACAAUUCUAGCACGGCAACAACAUGAGAGCUUCUUCUCAUAAAUGCUACCAUGGCAGCAAAAAGAUUAACUAAAAAUGCAACCAUGCUAGCUUAUAUUAGCCCCAAGGCUGGAAAAUUCUACCAUGACAACUAAAUGAGCAAUUUGACUCAUAAAUGCUGCCAUGGUAGAGAAAUGAUCCUAUUUGACAAUCAUUGACCCCAUGGUAGCAAAUAUGAGGCCAAAGGCUCAAAAGUUUUUCCAUGAUAACUAAAAGAGCCAUUUAGCCUAGAAUCGUUGCGAUGGCAGGUAAAUGAGCCAUUUCGCUCAGACUUGCUACCAUGGAGUUAAAUGAGCCACUUGGCUCCAACUUGCUGCCAUGUCAGCAAAAAAUGAAUGCAAAACUACCAUCACAACAAACAGCCCCAAGGUUAAAAAUUUCUGCCAGGCCUAGGUUUGCUAUGUGCUAAUCUUGCAAUUUGUUGCCAUGUGCUAUGUUUGGUAUCUAAAUUGCUAUAAAAGACGUUUUUGCUAUGUAUACAUGUUGAAAUAUAUUUGAUAUGAUGUAUGUUGACAUUUGUUCUGUUCAUUACGACAUGUCAAAGAUUCAUCGAUCAAAACUUCAACAGUUCUGAGGCGCCGCAGUGAAGCUAGACAACAAUGCAUGUGCUUUACAAAUUCAGCAUGUGAAAUGAAUGCAUGUAACUCAAUGCUAUCAAUGUGUAUUAUGUAAAUUAAAGGUGUAUGCUGCAAUUUGGAUAUUUGAAUUCGUGUAAAAUGUGAUACAUAAAAUUAUCUAUUUAAUGCAUAACUUUUCUAUUGAUAUAUGAAUUAAAUGUGCAAACGCUACCACGGCAACAAAUACACCGUCGUGUCAUUUCUUUUUGCCCAAAACAAAGUACUAGUGGUGCGCGAAAAUACAAGCACAUCACUGAUACCCCAAAAUACUAGCGCUAUGCCAUUAGUAUUCUACAAUAUUGUCAUGUGAAAGGACCAGGCACGACACUGCAUGCAACUAGUAAGUUACUCGCUUGUCGCUAGUAAUCACUUACCAACGACACGAUAGUAGUAGUGUGCCAGCCGAACGCCGCUAGUAUGCACAUGCACAAGCUGCUAAUAAGGCGGUCAUGUACGUUGGCGGUGGGAGCCACGAUGCUCAUGGGCGAAUCCAUCAACCCACCUCCAACGCCGAUACUCCACCGCGGCAUGCCGCUGAGACCCACCGUUUCUGAUGCGGUAGAUGCAACGCCGCUCCACCUCUUGGCCCCUCCAGUCAGUACCUACUCCAAAACAGUGCCCCCAGGAGAGAGAAUGACACAAGUCUUUGUCAUCAUCCGAUCAGGGAGACCCAGAUCUAGGGUUUCCCCCGGAGCAGAUGCCUCCUGGAGGAAGAAGGGCAUGCCAUCUGCAGGUUCCAACGAACCCAAAUGGUGCCCACCCGCACAAUGAGUCAUUUUCUUGGAGUUGUGUUGUUGUUCUUCAGCAUCCUUGUAUAAUGCCUUGUGCGUGUGUGUUGCGGUAUCGUGUUGUAUUGUGUAGUAUGUGCUGAAUUGUAUUAUUUAUAUAUAAAAUGGAGUGGGAGUCUUUUUGAUAAACAAUAAGAUCAAUUGCCUCACUUGAAACUUGAAAGUGCAUUUUUUUUAUUUUGACAACGGAAGUCAGGGCCAAUGCCGACCUCAUGCGCAGGAAAAGGGACAGGCACACGUACAUCCCAUCUGUAGCCAAGCUUUUUUGUUCUUUUGGACUAGUAGAAAAAGGCCCAUUAGUCCCGGUUCUAGAGGGCCUUUAGUCCCAGUUCUGGAACCGGGACUAAAGGGUCGGUACUAAAGGCCUCCUCCCUUUAGUCCCGGUUCUUAUACGAACCGGGACUAAAGGCCCUCCACGUGGCCGCUGUCUGGAGCUCUACGGAUGAGGGCUGAUUAGAGAUUAGAGGAAAUUUUACGAAUAUAUUUUUUUUGAAUUUUUUUAAAUCCCAAUUUUCAAAUUUGUGUAUUAUUUUACAAUUUAAUCUCUAAUCACCCCUCAUCAGUGCUCAAUUUAACCUCUAAUCUCUAAUCAGCCCUCGUCAUUCCAAAUCUCUAACUUCCCGGCCGGUCACCCAUCCUCUCACUACUCCAGCCUGAGCACGCUUAACUUCCGAGUUCUAUUCCCCCUCGUUUCCAAGUCUGCACUUGUUGUUUUCCUGACAGUAGUAAGAUGUCAAUCCUAUUAACCCUUUGGAGUUUAGCUUGAGCAUGAAGUCACACAUUUCACUGUUUGAGUUUGAAACUAUUAUUUAAAAAACAGUAAUUAUUUAGUAACAUUAAUAUAUCUUGAAUAAGUAGUUUGACCAUUGUUUGACCAUUGUUUGACCAGAUUUGACCAAAUUCAAAAAAACUGAAAUAAUUAUUUAGUAACACUAAUAUUCUUGAAUAAUUAUUUAGUAACACUAAUACAUCUUGAAUAAGUAGUUUGACCAUUGUUUGACCACAGUUUGACCAGAUUUAUCCAAAAUUCAAAAAAAUGAAAUUUGAGCGUAUCUUUUUUUCCUUUAAGAAUUUGAGGAUUCUAAAAAAUUGCAAACAGGCCUUUGUGCUGAACAUUUUGAUAUAUUAUACAUUUUUUCUGACAUCGUAUGCAAAAGUUAUAGCCGUUUUACUUUUUCCCAACACUUUUUGCAAAACAUGUCCAAAUUUAAGUUUUUAAAUUUUCCUAACUAGUAGAUGUAGUAGUAUAACUACAUCUCGAAGGAUUUUAUUUUUUUAAGUUUUUAUCAUUUUCUUUUGUUUUUUUCAAAACUGAAAUGGCGAUGGGGGGGUAGAGUUUGAGACACGAACCCCAUUAGUCCCGGUUUAAGACUCGAACCGGGACUAAAGGGCAUCGCACCCUUUAGUCCCGGUUCGUGUCUCAAACCGGGACUAAAGGUCUAAUCUUUAGUUCCGGUUUGAGAGACGAACUGGGACUAAAGGGCAUCGCACCCUUUAGUCCCGGUUCGUGUAUCAAACCGGGACUAAAGGUCUCAUUUGAACGGGGACGAAUGCCUUUAGCGGCUCAAUCCGGGACUAAUGCUCACAUUAGUCCCGGUUCGUAAUGCAACCGGGACUAAUGUGUAUAUUGAGCUAUGACCAAUACCCUGUUUUCUACUAGUGUUGGUUGCUUUUUUGUUCUUUUGGUUGCUUGUUGAUUGCUUGUUCAUCCGAUUUCUUGCUUAGAUCGGUCUGCUCUCUAUUUUCAAACAGUUUCGGUCUGGGCCUAUUUUUUCAAUUGGAUAAUUCUAGUGCACUAACUUAUCAAAUCGAAAUAAAUGAGUUUAUUAUCUUUUGUUUCCCUUUUUCUAGGAACCUAUUUGUUGGCAUUCGAUAGGACAUAUGUUUUGAGAAACAUCACUGUGGGGGGGGGGGGAAGCGCCUCUGUCGCCCUGGCAUCCAGCAGUGGUCAUCCAUCACCGUACAUAGGUCACGCGUUUGUAGCAUAACCUGAGUCUCCGUAGUUUGUCCGGCUCAACAUAUUGGCCAUUGUGUUGAUCCCCAAAUUCGCGCACAACAUGCUGCAUGAUUGGUUCACGGAGGUUCACCUCCUUGCCAUUGGAGAUCGUUGCAUGUGGUGCACCUUUCUUUGGACUGUCCGACAUCUUCACAUGGCCAAGAGCACGUGGGAUAUUGAAUGUUUGUCAGCGACCCAAGAGUACUCACGCAAUUAGCUGGACACAUCAGAGGUUUUACACAAUUGCAAACAUAGAGCACGCAUGGCAUUUUUGAUGCCAUGAAAACUUGCUACAGAUUUUUUAUUUGGAAUACACAGAGAAAGAAAGGUCGUUGCACGACCGACCUAAACACACACCACGUUCCUAAUGACUCGUACCAUCCCACGGAUCAGAUCGUGCGUGCAUGAUCUACGGCUCCAUGAUUAUCACGUGUGCUCCGAUGUGCCAUGUCAUCCCAUGACUCGGUUCACGACGCGGUAGAAAUGGGAGCAGCCCCAACCAGACACAUGGACUCGACGCAAACAUGCUUGCCGUCGAGACCGACUCUCAGCGCACACCGCGUGCUUGCAGGCAGCUCUAUGG
rnacentral:lncRNA from 1 species